rnacentral:rRNA from 1 species
UACGUAGGGUGCAAGCGUUAAUCGGAAUUACUGGGCGUAAAGCGUGCGUAGACGGUUACAUAAGUCGGGUGUGAAAGCCCCGGGCUCAACCUGGGAAUUGCAUUCGAGACUGCGUAGCUAGGGUGCGGAAGAGGGAAGCGGAAUUUCCGGUGUAGCGGUGAAAUGCGUAGAUAUCGGAAGGAACACCAGUGGCGAAAGCGGCUUCCUGGUCCAGCACCGACGUUCAGGCACGAAAGCGUGGGGAGCAAACAG